AUGCUCAUGAAAUGCCUCAGCCCUGUCACGGGGUUGGAAGGACAUUGUUUGAGAGGAGGGCUUAUGUUGAACAUAGAAAUUAAGAGGCAGAAGGUUGCUCUUGUAAAGGAUUCCUGGGCCCCUUUAAGUGGGACUUUUUUCAAUGCCUCGGGCAAAAUGAAAUGCAUCUCAUUUGAGGUUUACCUCAGAUUCUUCUCUUCUUCCACAGGCAGGAGUCUGUCUGAUUGCUGGAUCCAACAUAUAGUUAGAAUCAGUGGGAGUUCUGCAUGCAGUUUGAAGAAGGCAACAACUUCAAUGUAUUUUGUGGAGACCAGUGCAGGACUUGAGCAAUCUACAUAUAACUUCUCAGCCUUAUGACUUGACAAGAAAUUCACCUCAUUUUCUGGAAAUGAUGAGAGGAUGAUUUCAGAAAAGCCUGGAGUUUCAUGAAUUGAUGCCGAGUGAAGUGAGUAGAACCAGGAGAAUAUUAUAUACAGUAACACAAGAUUGUGGGAUGAUCAACUAUGAUAGACUGGCUCUUCUCAGCAAUACAGUAAUCCAAGGAAAUUCCAAUAGACUUGAGAUGGAAAAUGCUAUCUGCAUCCAGAGAGAGAACUUUGGAGAUGGAAUGUGGAUCUUUAAAAUUGUUGUGGUUGUUUCUUUGUUCUUAUGGUUUUCCUUUUUGUUCUGA